GCUCCGGCUUCCGCUAUCGGAUGAGCCUAUGUCGGAUUAGCUGGUUGGUGAGGUAAUGGCUCACCAAGGCGACGAUCCGUAGCUGGUCUGAGAGGAUGAUCAGCCACAUCGGGACUGAGACACGGCCCGAACUCCUACGGGAGGCAGCAGUGGGGAAUAUUGGACAAUGGGGGGAACCCUGAUCCAGCCAUGCCGCGUGUGUGAAGAAGGCCCUCGGGUUGUAAAGCACUUUCAGUGAGGAAGAACGCCUGGUGGUUAAUACCCAUCAGGAAAGACAUCACUCACAGAAGAAGCACCGGCUAACUCCGUGCCAGCAGCCGCGGUAAUACGGAGGGUGCGAGCGUUAAUCGGAAUUACUGGGCGUAAAGCGCGCGUAGGUGGCUUGAUAAGCCGGUUGUGAAAGCCCCGGGCUCAACCUGGGAACGGCAUCCGGAACUGUCAAGCUAGAGUGCAGGAGAGGAAGGUAGAAUUCCCGGUGUAGCGGUGAAAUGCGUAGAGANUCNGGGAGGAAUACCAGUGGCGAAGGCGGCCUUCUGGACUGACACUGACACUGAGGUGCGAAAGCGUGGGUAGCAAACANGGAUUAGAUACCCUGGUAGUCCACGCCGUAAACGAUGUCGACCAGCCGUUGGGUGCCUAGCGCACUUUGUGGCGGAGUUAACGCGAUAAGUCGACCGCCUGGGGAGUACGGCCGCAAGNGUUANAAANNNAAAUGAAUUGACGGGGGCCCGCACAAGCGGUGGAGCAUGUGGUUUAAUUCGAUGCAACGCGAAGAACCUUACCUACUCUUGACAUCCUGCGAAUUUGGUAGAGAUACCUUAGUGCCUUCGGGAACGCAGAGACAGGUGCUGCAUGGCUGUCGUCAGCUCGUGUUGUGAAAUGUUGGGUUAAGUCCCGUAACGAGCGCAACCCUUGUCCUUAUUUGCCAGCGCGUAAUGGCGGGAACUCUAAGGAGACUGCCGGUGACAAACCGGAGGAAGGUGGGGACGACGUCAAGUCAUCAUGGCCCUUACGAGUAGGGCUACACACGUGCUACAAUGGUCGGUACAAAGGGUUGCCAACUCGCGAGAGUGAGCCAAUCCCGAAAAGCCGAUCUCAGUCCGGAUCGGAGUCUGCAACUCGACUCCGUGAAGUCGGAAUCGCUAGUAAUCGUGGAUCAGAAUGCCACGGUGAAUACGUUCCCGGGCCUUGUACACACCGCCCGUCACACCAUGGGAGUGGACUGCAC
rnacentral:rRNA from 1 species